AUGGCCCAACCCCUACAUGCUCAUCUACGGGGUGCUUCUGGUGGUCUCACUCUUCGAGCACUUCUGGAGGCCGCUCAAGUGGUUCGCCAUGGCGGGGGCGGCCCCCGGCCUGCCGCCGAUCGUGCUCAGGAGCGUCGCCGCGCUCUGGCGGUGCACCAUAGACGUCAACAUACUCAUGCUCAUCGCAGCCAUGGUGUUUAUCCUUAA
rnacentral:rRNA from 1 species